AUUGAACGCUGGCGGCAGGCCUAACACAUGCAAGUCGAACGAGUGGCGGACGGGUGAGUAAUGUCUGGGAAACUGCCUGAUGGAGGGGGAUAACUACUGGAAACGGUAGCUAAUACCGCAUACCAUCGGAUGUGCCCAGAUGGGAUUAGCUAGUAGGUGGGGUAAAGGCUCACCUUGGCGACGAUCCCUAGCUGGUCUGAGAGGAUGACAAGACACAAUGGAACGUAGACAGGGACCAAACUCCGACGUGAGGCAGCAGGGGAGAAUAGUGCACAAUGGGCGCAAGCCUGAUGCAGCCAUGCCGCGUGUAUGAAGAAGGCCUUCAGGUUGUAAAUUACUUUCAGCGGGGAGGCGUUACCCGCAGAAGAAGCACCGGCUAACUCCGUGCCAGCAGCCGCGGUAAUAC
rnacentral:rRNA from 1 species